UAAUACAUAACCGCUAACCAUCCCUCAAAAAUCACUCUAGGCCUAUUUUCUCCCCUAAUCCGUCAUCCCCAGCUCAUUCAUAGGCCUACUUUCCCCACCCUAGAUAACCCUGCUAGGUGGCCUAUAUCUCUGUAAUCCCUGCACUGAGGCGCCUGGGAUUGAUAGGGGAUUUACAUGUAGACUUAAUCAUUGGAAUCCAUGUGCUAAGGUGGGCGAAGCAACGCAUACCCUGGAGUACGUCGCCCAUUGACAGCUAGCGGUGGUGACACGGGAGAAUUGGCAACGCUGCAGCCGCCCGGUGGAGCAACGUGGUAACGCUGCUCCUAUCCUACCUCAAGCAUGGCCGCCUCAGCUGUCACCUUCCCGGCAAAGUCUUCAUAUUUUCCGCCAUUUCCCUGCAGGUGACAAUGGGGGUGCUGAAGAUGCUGAGUUAUGCCCUGAAAUGAUGACUGCUGUGUGCGCUGACCCUCCCUCGACACAGCAUGGCCCUCGCUGCGUCAAUUCUGUACCUUGCUGACCAUCUCGACCAUCAACAUGACCGCCAAGGUGCUGUUUCAAGUACCAAAGCUGCCCUGCGUCUGUCUGCUACCUGGCCUUCUAUAUCUAAAGCACACAGCUCCAUCACUGGGGGCAGAAGACUUGCUGUGGACCAGACCUUCGGACUUCAGCACAGCGAGGGGGGACUCUGCUGUGAGCUCAAGACUUGCUCGGGGCAAGCUCUCGGCAUAUCUGGACCAGCUCAGCAUUCAGCAUAGCAAGGAGGGACUCCACCGUGGACUUCCAUAGGACAAGAUCUCGGUAUAUGCAGACGUCAGCAUCCAGCCAGACCUUGCUGGGGACGCCUACCGCCGCCGAAUGAUACACAGAUGACUAACUGGAUGAAGCAAUUACCUGUCUGCUGGAUGCUGGAGGAGGUCAGGUCACCCACAGAACACUCUCAGAUGCAGGGAAGAGGUCAGGUCACCCACAGAACACUCUCGGAUGCAGGGAAGAGGCCACGUCAUCCACAGAACACUCUUGGAUGCUGGGAAGAGGCCACGUCAUCCACAGAACACUCUUGGAUGCUGGGAAGAGGUCACGUCAUCCACAGAACACUCUUGGAU